UUGAGAUGUAGACUCCUCACUCAAAGAACCCUGUAACGAGAACCUAACAAUUAGUACAUGUAUUGAAUAAUGAAGAGCAUUCUAAAGAUAAAUAUAUUUUGCUAGUUUUGAAAUGGAUUCAGAGCUGUGAAUAAAUAAGCAUAUAGAAGAUGAGGUGCGCAAGGAGUAUCUGUUGAAAAGAAGCAACAACAGCUACGCAAGGAGUAUCUGUUGUUUUAGAUUUGAUUUCAUUGGUGUAUUAGCAUGAAAGUUCUUAUGGUAAUCUUCUCAUGAUUCUUGAUAUUGCUAAUAAGUUGAGAAAAGGAAGGAGUUACUAACCUUAUCUGCACUGGUGUUUUCCUUCUCUUGUUGCACAUUUUCAUCGUGGAUGAAAGACUCAUUGUUCUGUGACAAAGAUAUAUUACAAGAUUGCCAAGGAAAAUAAUAAGCAUUCAUACUACAAAAUGUGCGAGUAAUUCUAAUUGCUACUCAACCAUGCUCGAUUCCAAACAACAUAUAAAUGAGCAUACCUUAUCCACAGCAGGACGUUUGUAUGAUGGUUGCAUCUCCCUGUCAUCGAGAAAUGUUUCCUUGCUCUGUAAUGAAUAGCAAGAGAUGAUUAAUUUCUAUAAAAAGCAAACAGAAAUAUACUAAUGCAUCCAUACAAUACCUUCACAUUAUUCUGUUGCCCAACAGUACCAAGUAGUUGACUCUGAC
rnacentral:lncRNA from 1 species